CACAAAAAAUUUACCGAGGCGGGCUAAAAUGCUUAACCGAAGCGGUUUUUCCAACCGCCUCGGAGCAAAGGUCACGGUUAAUAUGACCAUUUUGCGAGGCGGUUCGAUGCCCGUCACGAUUAAUCAAAUAAAAAAAUAAAAAAAGAGAAAAAGCCCAAAGGGCUUGGAUCUGGGUCUCUUGCCCUGGCGACAGGGGAGCCGCGCUCCGCGUACGCGCCGGCAGCUCGCCGUGCAGUCACUGCGUCCAUCCGUCGUGGGUGUGGACGACCUCGCGCGCCGCCGUGGGGUGGAGGCCUCCAAGCCUUGGAUCUACGCCGCCAUGCCCUCGAUCUGUGCUGCACCGCCCUUGGUUUGUGUUGCCCAGCCCCA
rnacentral:lncRNA from 1 species